rnacentral:rRNA from 1 species
AUGAACAAUGAACUAAAGAGGUACAUUAGUGUUAAAUAUGACAUGCUUACUUUCUUUGAGCAUUUUGAACGGCUAGUUUCAGAUAAAAGAUGUGAAGAGGUGAAGUAUGACUUUAAAGCAACACAAACUACUCCAAAGUUGAAGGCUGAAUCAAGCCAUAUGCUAACACAAGCUGCAGCUACAUAUACUCCAGCAAUAUUCAAGAUGUUUCAAUAUCAAGUGCUUCGGACUCUGAACUACGACACAUUGCUUUGUGAUGAAAGUGACACAGAGUUGAGGAUUUAUAUAGUAAAAUUUCAUGGCACACAACGAGAGCAUGUUGUUAGAUUCAUUCCAAAAGAAGAAAAGGUUAGUUGCAGCUGCAAAAGGUUCGAGUUUUCUGAAAUCCUUUGCUCUCAUUGCUUAAAGGUACUUGAUAUUAAUAAUAUCAAGCAUAUCCCUGGAGAAUAUAUCUUGAAAAGAUGGACAAUUGAUGCCAAAGUUCUAGAUAUAACAAGCAAAUGCAACCGCAUGAGAACCUAA